AAAUUGAAGAGUUUGAUCAUGGCUCAGAUUGAACGCUGGCGGCAGGCCUAACACAUGCAAGUCGAACGGUAACAGGAAACAGCUUGCUGUUUCGCUGACGAGUGGCGGACGGGUGAGUAAUGUCUGGGAAACUGCCUGAUGGAGGGGGAUAACUACUGGAAACGGUAGCUAAUACCGCAUAAUGUCGCAAGACUAAAGAGGGGGACCUUCGGGCCUCUUGCCAUCGGAUGUGCCCAGAUGGGAUUAGCUAGUAGGUGGGGUAACGGCUCACCUAGGCGACGAUCCCUAGCUGGUCUGAGAGGAUGACCAGCCACACUGGAACUGAGACACGGUCCAGACUCCUACGGGAGGCAGCAGUGGGGAAUAUUGCACAAUGGGCGCAAGCCUGAUGCAGCCAUGCCGCGUGUAUGAAGAAGGCCUUCGGGUUGUAAAGUACUUUCAGCGGGGAGGAAGGGAGUAAAGUUAAUACCUUUACUCAUUGACGUUACCCGCAGAAGAA
rnacentral:rRNA from 1 species